ACCAGCAUAAGAAAGCGUACUCUGUGUUGGAGGUGCCGGGGAUUGAACCCGGGGCCUCGUGCAUGCUAAGCACGCGCUCUACCACUGAGCUACACCCCCGUCGGGAACUUCUGUAGAACCAGAUCAAUAUGUAUUUUCUCUCCUCAUUUCACCAAUGGAAGAAAGUACCACAGACGUUUACAGACUUUGGGGAAUAUACACGCUGGCCCAGAAGCGUUUGCCAGUCCAGAUACAAAGGCCAGGAGCGCUGCAGGGGACAGAGCGCCUCUGGCUGAGAACCGUCCUCCACCGUUCUGCGUGGAAACCACAGAGGUGACCGCUCCGCGCGGGCCGAGGCGGGUCUCCCGCAGCCAGAGUCUCCACGGACCCGGGAGGCGACCCCGCCCUCCGACCGUGACGGCCCCAGUGGGCGGGCCUGGGGUCCACUGUCAGUCUCCCUGGCCCUCCGCGGGCGCGCGGGGCUCCGACUCCCCCUCCCCACCUCCCGGGCGGCCAAGCAGCAACACUGCCACCCGCGGGGAGCCCAGCCAGCGACGUGCCACCGUCCCCCGGCAGCCCGCGGAAGGACUUCGGCCAGGAGUGGUUGCUGAUACUGGGAACGCCUGUGUGUGUGAACGCCGAGCUGUGCCCGCGCUCUGAACCUAGGCACGUAGCUUGCUGCAUGCCCUCAGUUAAACGGCUGAACCAAGAAAAACAGAAAGAAUUAAAUGAUACCUGGACUGCCUAGCUUUCAUUGCUGUGUUACCCGGGGCAAGUUACUCAACCUGCCUGUGCUUCCAUUUCUUCAACUGUAAAAUGGGAGUAGUAAUACUCCUUUCUCAAUGAGGAUGUGUUUAACCACUUACCAGUCCAAUUAUUUAAAUACAAGAUGACCAAAAACUGCAUAUUUUUAAA